rnacentral:rRNA from 1 species
GGAGCAUGUGGUUUAAUUUCGAUGCUACGCGAAGAACUUACCAGGUCUUGACAUCUUCUGCCAAACCUAAGAGAUUAGGCGUUCCCUUCGGGGACAGAAUGACAGGUGGUGCAUGGUUGUCGUCAGCUCGUGUCGUGAGAUGUUGGGUUAAGUCCCCGCAACGAGCGCAACCCUUAUUGUUAGUUGCCAGCAUUCAGUUGGGCACUCUAGCAAGACUGCCGGUGACAAACCGGAGGAAGGUGGGGAUGACGUCAAAUCAUCAUGCCCCUUAUGACCUGGGCUACACACGUGCUACAAUGGACGGUACAACGAGUCGCGAAACCGCGAGGUCAAGCUAAUCUCUUAAAGCCGUUCUCAGUUCGGAUUGUAGGCUGCAACUCGCCUACAUGAAGUUGGAAUCGCUAGUAAUCGUGGAUCAGCAUGCCACGGUGAAUACGUUCCCGGGCCUUGUACACACCGCCCGUCACACCAUGAGAGUUUGUAACACCCAAAGCCGGUGAGGUAACCUUCGGGGACCAGCCGUCUAAGGUGGGACAGAUGAUUAGGGUGAAGUCGUAACAAGG